UUGGACAGCGGGUGAUCUUGGUUCAAGAGAUUGAGUUCAGCAGGAGCAGGUCAUGUGUCUCAUCAAGAUGGAGAAAAUACAGAAUGUUUCACUUCUCUAAUGAAGAGGGUGUCCUGAAAUUGACUGCUGGCAGGCUCACACCAAUAGGGAGAUUUUUGAAUCAGCAUUUGGGGACUCUGAACUUUGUUAGAUACAAAAUAAGUGGAUUAACCAUCAACACAUUUGAGAAUAGCAAGGUCAAAGCAGGUCACGUAUAAUGAAAACAUUUACCAGUAAUGGCAGCAUGUAUGCUUUCCAGAUGUUUGUAUCAAAGAGCACAUGUAGGCUAACUGAUGAGGUGGGAUUCAACCUUCCAAUAUAUGAGAGCAAUACUAUUUGCCACCGGAGCAAUCUUUGGAGUAUGAUUGAUUAGCUACUCAAGCACCAUCACAGCGGAGUACGAGGCUCAGCUUGGCGAGUAUCGCAGUGCCCUGGAGACGCUCACCUUGGACACCAUCAAACUGGAGAUCGAGCUGGACAACAUUCGCGGAAGGCCCACGAAUUCAAAGUCAAACAGAAUAGAUACAGACAGCUACUGCCAAGAGUUCAGAGGCUGUCUCAGAGGCCAAGAUGGAAAUCUCAGGGGCCUGGAAGGAGCUGCAGGCGCUCAGUCUAGAGUUCCAAUGCCUGGUCACUUCAAACAUGUCCCCGGAGCAGAACUUUGCGGAAGCUCAGUCCUAGUUCAACAUGGGUGUGGCAGGGUACCAUGCUCAGAUCUCCAGCUUGACGUUGGCCAUUGAGGUGUCCAAACUGACCUCCACAACCAGAUCCUGGACUACCAUGAGAUUCUGGACGUUAAGCUGGCUCUGGACGUGGAGGCCUCAACCAACAACCUGCUGGAAGGAGAUGAU